rnacentral:lncRNA from 1 species
AAAGGACCUCCGGUUUCCAUCGGAGUACUUGCUUGAGCGCUUUGAAUUAAGCAAGCCACUUGUUAACGGACCACACCCACUUGGCUGUUUCCAUUUGACGCAUACGUUUCGCACGGUUACCAUCACCCCUGUUAUUCAAAGUUCACGAACAAAGUGUGUUGGCCACUCGGAAACGCAAAGAAUGAAUUGAAAAGACGCUUCGUGUGUCCUUUUUAUCAAGACCGCGUGGGGUAAAAGGUGUUCUACGAGCUCCCUCAGUUUAAAGCAGUUCUUAACGGUGUGCGGAACUCUGAAACAUUUUAAGAAACCCAACGAAUGCACUACUCGGCUUCCUUUGUGAUGCAAGAGCUUUAUGACGUCACAAUGCAUGCAGUUGCGCUUUCUUCAAAACGUCAAGAGGGGUUUGUGCACCGCACUCGAUCGAUAAUGCUGGAUGAGCACGUUAUCCACGAGCUUCUGGAGCGUGCCAUCAGUGCCGCACAGCCCGGAGACGUUAGCUUCUCGGCACUACGGGACCUCCUGGAGAUCCUCCUGCAGAGAUCGUCCACGUUGCCACACGGAUCGGAGGCAGGGGCCAUUGAAGGAGCACGAGUUGCGGCCGUGGCUUCCGCCGAGCAUGUCAAAAGCAUUACAGAAACGGUGGACAUCCAAUCCACUGGGAAAGAUGCUGACUCGUGGACGGUAAAGAAACUUCACCAUCUCGAGCAAAAAGUCCAUCAACUCGAGGGAGGAACGCAACAGGCCAAGACCGCUGCAGAUCAAGUUCUCGUGAAGCUUCAAGAAAUGAAAUCCGAUCAAAACAUGACAAAGGCUGAUCUUACCAGGUUACUGGAAGGCUUGAAAAAGAAUCCUUCACUGCCACAUCGCACGGAUGUAAAAGGCCAAUUUCCAACGGACAACCCCCCGACGACAGCUCUGGAAACCACCCCAUUGAGCGAACUGUUGAAUGAGCAGAAAAAGGACGAGGCUCCUCCAACCAUUUCAUCAAUGACCCUGGCAACUGACGAGCCGACGUCUCCACCAAUCACUUCUACAGCUGUCCCACCAACUUCAGCACCAACCAUUUAUACAGCUGCUCCGGCAGGACACCAACAAAGUUAUCUUGGAACCGCUCCACCAAAUGAUUUUCAGCAUGUAACAAUUGAUCUCACGAGUGCUCCAGGAGAAACAGGAACAUGUUUUGAAGACAUGGAGCCGGAUCAAGAAAAGGAAAAGCAUCUCAUGAAGCAGACCAAUGAAUGUGCAGGCACCGAGUCUGAAGUCAUUCAUGCAAAGCAACUCGGCGAGACUCUUGAUUCCGAACUGACUCCACUAAGAAAUCGUCUUCAGCAAGUUAGCGUCGACGUGCAAGACCUCAAGGAGAAGCUAAUGGAGCAUCAUCGUCUCUGGGAGAAGAAGCUGCAGGAGACCGGUGGUCACUUGCAGGAACAGCUGGACCUUUUACACUCAGUCUGCAACAGCCUAAGGAGUUCUUCUUCCUCUCCAGUUGAAACGAACUCAGUGACGUUGGAUGAGCCUGCCAUCUCAAUGUCUUCCAUCGCGCACGCAGCAUCCCCCCUUCCCGUGUCCACAAACCUGAGUUCCACUCAUUUGCUCCAAAGUGCUGCAGCGUCUAGAGUUUCUGAAAUACGCUCGUUGCCCCACAUCAGCUCAUCCUUCCACGUGAUCAUGCCAAAUAAAUCGACGUCAUGCCAGACAAUAACAGUUCACCGCGAAACCUCAAUAUCACCGUCAUCUGACCACUACACACCGAGUCUGGUAAUCGCCCUGCUGUGACACCAGAAUCAGCCAGCAUUGACCAAGGGGGGCAGGUUCACGACCAGUGGCCACGUUACGAGGAGACGCAGGCAGCGAUGGCGAGUUUCAGAAACGCUGAGCACACGUAAGUUAACCUUUUGUUCCUUCACUCAACUCAAAAGUCUGAAUUGCUUGAAUUUUUCACAUGACGCGAACCAUUUCUAUGAAUGGUAAGGUACAUUAACAUGACCAUUGAGGAUUGCACUGAAAUCAUUUUUGUAAACUCACACAUGCCACGAUACACAGUGCCUUCAGAAAGGAUUCUCACCCCUUGACUUUUUCACAUUUUGUUGUGUUAAAGCCUGAAUUUAAAAUGGAUUGAAUUGAAAUUUUUUGUUACCGAUCG